rnacentral:rRNA from 1 species
UACGUAGGGUGCAAGCGUUAAUCGGAAUUACUGGGCGUAAAGCGUGCGCAGGCGGUUUUGUAAGUCUGUCGUGAAAGCCCCCGGGCUCAACCUGGGAAUUGCGAUGAAGACUGCAAGGCUUGAAUCUGGCAGAGGGGGGGUAGAAUUCCACGUGUAGCAGUGAAAUGCGUAGAGAUGUGGAGGAACACCGAUGGCGAAGGCAGCCCCCCUGGGUCAAGAUUGACGCUCAUGCACGAAAGCGUGGGGAGCAAACAGG